rnacentral:rRNA from 1 species
CAGCUCAAAUUUGAAAUCUGGCCCCCCGCGGGCCCGAGUUGUACUUUGGAGAGGACGCUUCUGGCGCGGCGCCGGCCGAGUGCCCUGGAACGGGCCGCCGGAGAGGGUGAGAGCCCCGUACGGCCGGCCGCCUAGCCUCUGCGAAGCUCCUUCGACGAGUCGAGUAGUUUGGGAAUGCUGCUCAAAAUGGGAGGUAAAUUUCUUCUAAAGCUAAAUACCGGCCAGAGACCGAUAGCGCACAAGUAGAGUGAUCGAAAGAUGAAAAGCACUUUGAAAAGAGGGUUAAACAGUACGUGAAAUUGCUGAAAGGGAAGCGCCUGUGGCCAGACUUGCGCCCCGCGGACCACCCGGCGCCCGCGCCGGGGCACGCCGCGGGGCGCAGGCCAGCAUCGGCUCUCCCAGGGGGACAAAGGCCGCGGGAACGUAGCGCCCUCGGGCGUGUUACAGCCCGCGGCGCCAUGCCCCUGGGGGGGCCGAGGACCGCGCUCCGGCAAGGAUGCUGGCGUAAUGGCCACCGGCGACCCGUCUUGAAACACGGACCAAGGAGUCAAGCAGUGGGGCGAGUGUCUGGGUGGCAAACCCGCACGCGGAAUGAAAGUGAACGCAGGUGGGAGCUUCGGCGCACCACCGACCGAUCCUGAUGUCUUCGGAUGGAUUUGAGUAGGAGCCUUGCCGCUUGGACCCGAAAGAUGGUGAACUAUGCCUGUAUAGGGUGAAGCCAGAGGAAACUCUGGUGGAGGCUCGCAGCGGUUCUGACGUGCAAAUCGAUCGUCAA